CUCUGCUUUAAGCUGCUUACAGAACUUACCUGGACUGUGUAUCACUUCUAUGCAUUAUGAUAAUAUUUCUCGAGCAGCAGAUCUUUCCAGACAACUAGAAGCCAUGCAUAAUGGCACAUGGAAUAUAAAGUUUCAAAAUUUAACUAAUCUAUUGAUACAAUAAAUUGUAACACUUAAUAGUACCAGGGUGUCUUUGCCAAUGGUAUCAUCAGUGGUACAAUUUUUCCAAGGGUUUCUCACUUGGAGCUGUCAAUGGCUUGGAAUUGUGGCAUUUUUGUAUUCUCCUCAUUCUGCUUGUGGCAGGUUGUUUAUGGUGUUUGUGUAAAUUACACAGACAACAAAUAGAACCCACUAUGGUCAUUAAACAGGCGAUGAUGGCCCUAGAAACAGGGCAAGAUCCACAAGUAUGGCUAAAUAUAUUGGGCCGGUAGUCAAAGACUGGAAAGAUCCAAUUACAAUUGUACAACCUAAGCCAGGAGGCUGAAAAUUUGAGGUUAGACCAUCCAUUGACGGGAAAGGACCAUAUGUAGUAUUGGGCUACCUAAGACAGGCACGAUCCCUAAACCACAUACUUGUUGUUUAAUAAAACAAAAAGGGGGAGAUGUUGGAGGCCACAAUCUAGUCAAGACGACACCUGACAGUUUGCCAGGGGGAGUGGUUUGUGAGGCAAAACCACUGAGCCAUCAAGAUGAUGGGGACUCCUUAUUGGCUGAUUGCUGUAUCUGUAGGGGAGCAAUGCUAUGAUUGGAUGAUGCUGAUUGAGUCAAAC
rnacentral:lncRNA from 1 species